rnacentral:tRNA from 1 species
GCCAGAGUCGCCUAGUGGCCGGGCGACAGCCUGCAGAGUUGUUAACGGGGGCUCAAAUCCCCCCUCUGGCU